rnacentral:rRNA from 1 species
AACGAACGCUGGCGGCAUGCCUAACACAUGCAAGUCGAACGAGACCUUCGGGUCUAGUGGCGCACGGGUGCGUAACGCGUGGGAACCUGCCCUUAGGUUCGGAAUAACUCCCCGAAAGGGGUGCUAAUACCGGAUAAUGUCUUCGGACCAAAGAUUUAUCGCCUUUGGAUGGGCCCGCGUUGGAUUAGCUAGUUGGUAGGGUAAAAGCCUACCAAGGCGACGAUCCAUAGCUGGUCUGAGAGGAUGAUCAGCCACACUGGGACUGAGACACGGCCCAGACUCCUACGCGAGGCAGCAGUGGGGGAUAUUGGAAUGUGGGGGAAAGCCUGAUCCAGCUCUGCCGCGUGAGUACUGAAGGCGUUAGCGUUGUAAAGCUCUUUUACCCGGGAUGAUAAUGACGGUACCGGGAGAAUAAGCUCCGGCUAACUCCGUG